UACGAAGGGGGCUAGCGUUGUUCGGAAUCACUGGGCGUAAAGCGCACGCAGGCGGAUUGAUAAGUCAGGGGUGAAAUCCCGGAGCUCAACUUCGGAAUUGCCUUUGAUACUGUCUGUCUUGAGUCCGGGAGAGGUGAGUGGAAUUCCUAGUGUAGAGGUGAAAUUCGUAGAUAUUAGGAAGAACACCGGUGGCGAAGGCGGCUUCCUGGCCGAAAACUGACGCUGAGGCACGAAAGCGUGGGGAGCAAACGGG
rnacentral:rRNA from 1 species